rnacentral:rRNA from 1 species
CAGUAGCCGCGGUAAUACGGAGGGUGCAAGCGUUAAUCGGAAUUACUGGGCGUAAAGCGCACGCAGGCGGUCUGACAAGUCAGAUGUGAAAUCCCCGGGCUUAACCUGGGAACUGCAUUUGAAACUGUCAGGCUGGAGUCUUGUAGAGGGGGGUGGAAUUCCAGGUGUAGCGGUGAAAUGCGUAGAGAUCUGGAGGAAUACCGGUGGCGAAGGCGGCCCCCUGGACAAAGACUGACGCUCAGGUGCGAAAGCGUGGGGAGCAAACAGGAUUAGAUACCCGAGUAGUCCCUGUCUCUUAUAA